GUCCCUGUAGUGCAUUGGACCGCGUGUUGGACUUUUAAUCCAAAGGUUGUGGGUUCGAAUUCCACUUGGGAUG